rnacentral:rRNA from 1 species
UACGGGGGGGGCAAGCGUUGUUCGGAAUUACUGGGCGUAAAGGGCUCGUAGGCGGCCAACUAAGUCGGACGUGAAAUCCCCAGGCUCAACCUGGGAACUGCGUCUGAUACUGGAUGGCUUGAAUCCGGGAGAGGGAUGCAGAAUUCCAGGUGUAGCGGUGAAAUGCGUAGAUAUCUGGAGGAAUACCGGUGGCGAAGGCGGCAUCCUGGACCAUAACUGACGCUGAGGCGCGAAAGCUAGGGGAGCAAACGGG